ensembl:lncRNA
UUUUUUUUUCAUUUUUAUUAUUUUGUUACUUCAUGUGUAUGGGUGUUUUGCCUGCAUGAAUGUCUGUGUACCAUGUGAUGCCUCGAAAAUACGGAAGGGGGCAUCAGAUGCCCAGGAGAUGUUACAGACAGCUGUGAGCCACCAUGUGAGUGCUAGGAUUGCACCCAGAUCCUCUGGAGGAGCAGCCGGCGCUCACCACUGAGCCAUCUCUCCUAUCUUUGAUAGUGUGCUACGGGGUCCAACUCAUGUUCACAAGGUUGAUGGCAACAAGUUUUGGUGAGACUUAAAAUAGAAAACCUGCAUUAAGCCAGGCAUGGUGACACGCGACUUUAAUCCCAGCACUCAGGAGACAGAAGCAGGCAGAUCUCAGUGAGUUCACAGCUGGCCUGGUUUACAAGGCAAGUUCUAGUCUAAUCAGAGCUGAUCUGAGAGGGACCCUGUUUCAAAAAACCAAGUAAGGGGCUGGAGAGAUGGCUCAGCAGGUAAGAGCGCUGAUUAUGCUUAGAGGACCUGGGUGGGUUCUUAGUGCCUGCAUGGCAGUUUACAAGCCUCUGUAACUCCAGGACCGGACACACACAUGGUUCACGGACAAACAUACAAACUCAAAAAGAGAAGUAAAUGUUUAACAAAGGUUUGCUUAAAUACUUAAGGGGAACAAAAGGUGUAUAUUGCUCUUAGAGGAUUUCUAGCUGUUUUUUCCACAGGCACUGCACACACAUGGUACACACAGAGACAAGAAGGCAAAGGCUAAAGUUAGUCAUUUAAAAAAGAAGCGCGUGGGUGGCCGAGGUUGUGAUUACUCAGUCUUAACAAAGGGGAAUGGCGGGCCACUGUAGCACUGUGGCGCACACCAGCCAGUUGGGAGGCUCACACGCUCACACAAAAGGAUCACCAGAUGCUGCCAGGUGCUGGUUGCCAAGGUUGAAAUGAGAAGUUUCUGUUAACUGGGUACAGAGUUUCAGUUUUACAAGGUGAAGAAGUUGGGCAGACAGAUGGUAGGGAUGGUCACACAAAGAUAUGAAUGUAUUUACUGCCACUGAAGCAACACUAAGGUGGUUAAUCUGAGAAGUUAUGUUUAUUAUUUAAAGGACUAAAUUGUCAAGCUAACUUCAAUAACUGUUUUAUUUUGUACAACUGACAUAUUCAUAUAGAUGACAUCUCUAAAGAUGUCUUUAUCAGUAUUUAAAACUGUGUUACAUCUCUUAGGAAUUUGACACACAGUUUCACUUGUAAGGCCAGAUAACCAAUUGUAGGGUGCGUUAUUACCCAGAAUGUGGUGGGUCCAAGAGCUUGAACUCACGAUCAAGUUUGGUGACACUUGCCUUUACCCACUGAGCCUUCUCAUCAACCCAAGUUUCCCAGGAAUUAAGUAAUCUGUUUCCCUAAUUCCCCUUAAGCAAACAUGGCAGUCAAGUGUACAGCAGGAGACAGGUUAUGAUUUGCAUGAUGUAAUUUAAUAAUGUAACCAUCUUUGGGGAAUCUAAUUAGUACCAAAAGAAAAAAAAAAAAAACCAACAGGAAACAGCUGUCUCUCUCACACAGGGUUGAGAGCUUUCCCUCCCACUCAUUGCCAAUCAGUGUCCUGGUGUCCCCUCACCCUGCCUCUGUCUCUGCAACCUGCCAGCCUCCAACUGAACAGACUUCCAUUCCUGUGCAAUCUAAGUCAGUCUCUCCAGUCUCUUCCUCCCUCCCUCCCUCGCUCUCCCUCUCUCUUAUAAAGGAAAGAAAGCACUCACUGGGUAUAAUUGAUGUCUAUAUGCAGGUGAGGGCAGGUACAAGAUAAGGCAAGGCCUGUGAUUGGGCAGUGAAAAAAGAAAGGCGGGGGCAGAGGUUUUGUAAGGCAGGAGAGAUGAGGAGGUAGAAGAACCAAGAAAAAGGCAGAGAAGGACGACCCAGAUCUGCGUGGCUUUAACCGGGCAAAGGUAGCUAUGAAUAUUUCAUAAGGGACAGAUUUAUAUAGGACAAUUUGUCUUAUCUAGGUGGGCAGUUUACAUCAAUAUCAAUUGCUUGUGAGUUUAUUGUGGGGACGUUUUGUGGACUGAGAAUUUGCUGAUAUGAAUCUGACUGCUAAAUUACAAGCUUUGGGUUUUGAUUUUAACUGGCUACUGGGAGUUGUGACUGUAGCCACAGGGGCAGAUGCUGGGAUUGUGAGCAGGGUUCACAGCACAGUCCCAGGAUGGCAGCUGCUGCUGGGCCCAGAGAGGAGCCAGUGCCAACAUGGGGCUAGCCAUGGAGGUGGAGAGAUUGCUGGGGACAGAGACGAGCAGGAGGCAGUGUGGCUUGGUGCCUGGUGCCACACCCACCCCUGCAUCCAUUUUAAUUAUUUACUGCUACAACUGGGUGCUUGCUUUUAGUUUCAGAGGGUUAGUCCAUUAGCAUCCUGAGGGGAAGCAUGCAGGCAGACAGGCAUGGUGCUAGAAGGGUAGCUGAGAGCUUUAAAUUGUGAUCCGCACGCUGCAGAGAGAGAAAAAGGAAACAGAGAUGGAGGGAUGACUGGCCCUGGCAAGGACUUUCAAACCUUAAAAGCCACCCCUAGGGACACACCUCCUCCAACAAGGCCACACCCCUAACCCUUCCCAACAGUCCACCAUCUGUGAACAAAGCAUCCAAAUGUAUGGGCCGAUGGGGCCAUUCCUAUUCAAGCCACCUCACUGAAGGAAUAAAUUAACAUGUCCCAAAGUAUUAAAUGUAGUCAUUUUUCUCAGUACUGAGACAAAAUAUCUCAAGAAAUAAAAAAACACUGAAGGACGUAUUUCGUUUGGCUCCCCCUUUAAAAGAUACAGUCCACCAUGGCCGGGAAGGCAUGUGGCUGGUCACAGUGCACCCUCAUGCAGGAAGCAGAGAGUGGGGGAGUGCUCCUCGAAGCCUUUCCACUUUUAUUCAGCCUGCACCCCAAGCCCACAGGAGCUGGCUAACCCAGCAAGCCUGGCAGGCCUGGAAGCCACCCCCAACAACCAUCAUCACCCCAGUGACUCCCUACGGUGGGGAUCACGAGUUGCCACCAUGCUGUUUUUCACACGGGUGCAGGGGAUUUGAAACCACAGCCUCCUGCUUGUACAGAAAGCAUCCUGAGCCAUCUCUCUGGAUUCACCCUUCACUCUAGGCAGACUGGGCCUGAGCAGGUGUCACCUGGCCUCCAGCAGAUACUCAACCUCCUGUCAGACGCUGCCCUCUAGUGACCAUGUGGGGAAAUCUUAAAGCUCACUCUUCAAGCGUCACAGAUCUUAAAAUCUUUCCCAAAGUGCCUUGACCACCCUGACAAAAUAAGCAUUGGUGAAUUCAUCCAUCUCUUCUUACAUUUGAAGGAGACAGCGAGACAUGAGGUUGAAGAUCUGUCCUAGUCCGGAGAUUUCCUGCUCCAUUCUGAGAGUUGUGGCAAAUAUUUU